rnacentral:rRNA from 1 species
AUUGAACGCUGGCGGCAGGCCUAACACCUGCAAGUCGAACGAGUGGCGGACGGGUGAGUAAUGUCUGGGAAACUGCCUGAUGGAGGGGGAUAACUACUGGAAACGGUAGCUAAUACCGCAUACCAUCGGAUGUGCCCAGAUGGGAUUAGCUAGUAGGUGGGGUAACGGCUCACCGAGGCGACGAUCCCUAGCUGGUCUGAGAGGAUGACCAGCCACAAUGGAACUGGGACACGGUCCAGACUCCUCAGGGGGGCAGCAGUGGGGAAUAUUGCAAAAUGGGGGCAAGCCUGAUGCCGCCAUGCCGCGUGGAAGAAGAAGGCCUUCGGGUUGUAAAGUACUUUCAGCGGGGAGGCGUUACCCGCAGAAGAAGCACCGGCUAACUCCGUGCCAGCAGCCGCGGUAAUAC